rnacentral:rRNA from 1 species
AGGCGACUCUCUGCUCUGUGUCUGACCCUGAGGAGCGAAAGCGUGGGGAGCGAACAAGAUUAGAUACCCUGGUAGUCCACGCCGUAGACGAUGAGUGCUAAGUGUUAGGGGGUUUCCGCCCCUUAGUGCUGCAGCUAACGCAUUAAGCACUCCGCCUGGGGAGUACGGGCGCAAGACUGAAACUCAAAGGAAUUGACGGGGGCCCGCACAACCGGUGGAGCAUGUGGUUU